rnacentral:rRNA from 1 species
AGUGAACGCUGGCGGUAUGCCUAACACAUGCAAGUCGAACGAGUGGCGGACGGGUGGGGAAUACAUCGGCACCUACUCUGUCGUGGGGGAUGACGUCGGGAAACUUACGCUAAUACCGCAUACGAUUGAAUGAGCCGAUGUCGGAUUAGCUAGUUGGCGGGGUAAAGGCCCACCAAGGCGACGAUCCGUAGCUGGUCUGAGAGGAGGAUCAGCGACAUUGGAACUGAGACACGGUCCAGACUCCUACGGGAGGCAGCAGUGGGGAAUGUUGGACAAUGGGCGCAAGCCUGAUCCAGCCAUACCGCGUGGGUGAAGAAGGCCUUCGGGUUGUAAAGCCCUUUUGUUGGGAAAGCGGUACCCACAGAAGAAGCACCGGCUAACUUCGUGCCAGCAGCCGCGGUAAUAC